rnacentral:lncRNA from 1 species
CAUACCUUGAUCGGAUUUCUUCGUAUCCACUCAUAUUUCUCAAGUAUCACAAAAUCAGCAAUGCCUUUCUCCAUGUCUUGAUGGUCCUCCUCAACUAUUGUUUCUUUUCCAACACCCUAUUCGACUAUUUUUUUCUUUUUCUUUCUCCUCCAUAUCAUUCCCAGAUCCAAUCUUAACUUACUUCCUUCCUCCAUUCUUUUCUCUUACCUCCUCUUCUAGCAUUUGGGUCCUCACAAGGCUCUUCUACUUUUCUUUCAUCUACAGGCACAUCCGUCACAUCAUCAAAUCCAGUCUCAUUUUCCAACCAACCAUUCUGUUUAUGUUCUGGUACAUAAGCUGUGUUACUAGUGUCACCAUCAAUCAAAUGCACUAGUCGCUGAAUGGAAUUGAUCGGCCACGGCCAAUUCUACCAACCCGUCAGCCCUUUUCUCCACCAGAUCAAGUCGAGUUGAUAUGAUUGCUUACAUCUUCCAUCAAGUUUUUCCAUUUCCAUUUUCAAAAAUCUACGAUGUUGAU